GACGAACCGUGCGAACGUUGUUCGGAAUCACUGGGCUUAAAGGGCGCGUAGGCGGGUGUGCAAGUCUGUGGUGAAAGCCUCCAGCUUAACUGGAGAAGUGCCGUGGAUACUGCUCAUCUUGAGGAGGGUAGGGGCAUCUGGAACGGUCGGUGGAGCGGUGAAAUGCGUUGAUAUCGACCGGAACUCCGGUGGCGAAGGCGAGGUGCUGGACCCUUUCUGACGCUGAGGCGCGAAAGCCAGGGGAGCAAACGGG
rnacentral:rRNA from 1 species